GAAAUCCUGAGACAUUCGAGAAGGUUACUUCUAAAUUCAACCGACAAAUUAAAUUCGGGAGAUUGAGUUUGAUUGUGAGUAUGAUAUGCCUUGAUUUUAUCAAGGACUUUAAAAAGCAACUAACAGAUCACCCACCUGGGAGUAUCUCGGGUAUGAAUUUACAAUACCGACGGUGUUUCGGGACUGAU
rfam:Clostridium hiranonis DSM 13275 Scfld7 genomic scaffold, whole genome shotgun sequence.